rnacentral:rRNA from 1 species
CCUACGGGCGGCAGCAGUGGGGAAUAUUGCUCAAUGGGGGAAACCCUGAUGCAGCGACGUCGCGUGAAGGAUGAAGUAUCUCUGUAUUUAAACUUUCAUCAGCAGGGAAGAAAGUGACGCCACCUGACUAAGAAGCCCCGGCUAACUACGUGCCAGCAGCCGCGGUUAUACGUGGGGGGCAAGCGUUAUCCGGUUUUACUGGGUGUUAAGGGAGCGUAGGCGGGGAUGCAAGUCAGGAGGGAAAGCCCGGGGUGCAACCCCGGGACUGCUGUUGAAACUGUAUGGCUAGAUUGCACGAGAGGCAAGUGGAAUUCGUGGUGUAGCGGUGAAAUGCGUAGAUAUUAGGAAGAACUCCAGUGGCGAAGGCAGUGUGCUGGA